rnacentral:rRNA from 1 species
CGUGUGGUUUAAUUCGAUGAUACGCGAAGAACCUCACCCAGGUUUGACAUGCAUGUGGUACCAAGGUGAAGCUGAGGGACCCUUCGGGAGCAUGCACAGGUGUUGCACGGCCGUCGUCAGCUCGUGCCGUGAGGUGUUGGGUUAAGUCCCGCAACGAGCGCAACCCUGUCGCCAGUUGUAUUUUUCUGGCGAGACUGCCGAGAAAACCUCGGAGGAAGGAGGGGACGAUGUCAGGUCAGCGUGGCCCUUACGCCUGGGGCUACACACACGCUACAAUGGGCAGUACAACGGGUCGCGAAGCCGCGAGGUGGAGCUAAUCCCAUCAAAGCUGUACCUCAGUUCGGAUUGCAGGCUGAAACCCGCCUGCAUGAAGCCGGAGUUGCUAGUAACCGCAGGUCAGCAUUACUGCGGUGAAUACGUUCCCGGGCCUU